UUAUUUCAUCCGUUUUUGAUGGAGACGUUUUAAGAUGGAUUAAUAUGUUUUCUGGAUCAGGAUAUUUAGUAGCAGAUGGAUAAAACUUUCAUGAAGAACAGACCAUUUAUAAUCUUCAUUAUUGGAAUUGAUUAGACUAUCUGUCAGUCUGAAUAUUUUAAGUGGACAACCUUCAUCAGCUGUGUCACAUAACAACAAACAUUUUGAGACAUAUCUCGAAUAAUAUAUACAGUUAAAAAUAAAUGAAAUCAGUGCUAUACAUACUGUUUUGUGAAAAAUAUGAUUGACAAAAUGCAUUUUUUUUUAGUUUUUUUUUAUAAUUUAAAAUAAAAGAGUUCUAUAGUCUUA